UGUCCAGGGGCGGGAAUCGAACCCACACCCUUCUGCUUACCGGGCAGGUGCCUUGUCCACUCGGCUAAUGUAAGC